rnacentral:rRNA from 1 species
CAAUAGCGUAUAUUAAAGUUGUUGCAGUUAAAAAGCUCGUAGUUGGAUUUGUGGUGUGUCCAGUCGGCCUUUGCUCUUUGAGUGAUUGUGCUGUACUGGUCUGCCAUGUUUGGGUGGAAUCUGUGUGGCAUUAAGUUGUCGUGCAGGGGAUGCCCAUCGUUUACUGUGAAAAAUUAGAGUGUUCAAAGCAGGCUUAUGCCUUGAAUAUAUUAGCAUGGAAUAAUGAUAUAGGACCUUGGUUCUAUUUUGUUGGUUUCUAGAGCUGAGGUAAUGAUUAAUAGGGAUAGUUGGGGGCAUUCGUAUUUAACUGUCAGAGGUGAAAUUCUUGGAUUUCUGAAAGACGAACUACUGCGAAAGCAUUUACCAAGGAUGUUUUCAUUAAUCAAGAACGAAAGUUAGGGGAUCGAAGAUGAUUAGAUACCGU